GUUUCUGUGAGUUUUAAACCUUCAGGAGCCCGUGUUAGGCGGUAACAAGCGCUCACAAACAAAGCCAACACGUUUCACUCCGUCUGCACCAGCCGAGCGGAGCUGAGCACCACCAGCAGCAUCAGCACCAGCAGCAGAUCGGGGAGGGUUUUCUGAAGCACCGACGACGCAUGUGAACGGCGCAGGACUCGAGACCACGAUGAUGCUGAUGAUGCUCGCUCGCUGCCGGAUGGUCCGGAGGCACUCGACGCUGUUGCAUGAGCAGAGGUGUUGCUGAAAAGCCGCUGAAGAACCGACGUUUCUUCCCCCUCCAUUUCUUUUCCAAUUGAGACGAUACGCAUGAACUGACGUGAAUGCCGAGCAGACAACACGGCACACCGGUUCGGUGGUUAACGCAGCUUCGCCCCCCUCCCGGCCUGAGUAAAUGGGACCGCACGUCGUCCGAGCGUUAGAAAUAUGGAGAGAAUUUUCCUGCUCGUCCUCGGCUGUCUCGGCGCAUCUCGAAUCGCAGCGGAUAGCUUGUCGCCUCCCGUCAAUGUGACCAUCAAAGAGGUGAAAGCAAACUUUGCUGUGGUGUCAUGGGAUAUCCCUGAGGGAGACCCUGUCAUUGGCUUUGCCAUCACACAGCAGAAGAAAGAUGUUCAAAUGCUGCGAUUAAUCCAGGAAGUCAACACCACUACACGUUCCUGUGCACUAUGGGACUUGGAGGAAGAGACAGACUACAUUGUGCAUGUCCAGUACAUCAGCAUGUCUGGGACGAGCCCACUGAGCGAACCACUGCUCUUCCGAACACCAAAGGAGGCCGAGACCCAGGCUUCUAAGAGUAAAGACGAAGUGACAAUGGAGGAAGUGGGCCAGACCACCCAGCUGAGGGCGGGCGAGCUCAUCAUCAUCGUGGUGGUACUCAUAAUGUGGGCAGGUGUGAUCGCACUCUUCUGCCGCCAGUAUGACAUUAUUAAAGACAAUGAACCCAACAACAACAAGGACAAAGCCAAAAACUCCUCAGAGUGCAGCACUCCCGAGCAUCCGACGGGGGGGCUGUUGCGCAGUAAGGUAUAACCCACCCCCUCCUCUUCCUCCUCUUCUUCCUCCUCUCCCUGGGUGCCUCCCCCCUCAGCGGCGCCGGGCAGUUCCCCAAGAACAACAACAACAACAACAGGAUGCCCUCUAUCAACAUCAUUGAGGUGUGAUUGCCAGGACGUUAUCUUUUUAACUCAAAAGACUUCAAAGAAAGCCAGCCCCCUUUUAAGCCCAUCUGCUUGUCAGGAUGAUGCUGGGACUCUCUGCAACGCCUUUCGUCCUUUUCAGCAGCGAUCCUGGUGCUGAGAUGAGGGUGCAGGAGUCUGCUGGCCGAGCACGCCUGGCUGGAGAGUUCAGCAGCCGCUCCGUGCUCAGUGAUUACUGUACGAUAGAGAAGCAGUUUUUAGGGCAGCAUGGGGGAGAGACUGCAGAUGAGUCAACCCCAGAGACCAAAGCUGAUAAACAGAGACCUUCUCAUUCUCUUGCCUCUUUCUUGUGAGCAUCUUUCAGUGCGUUAUCAGUCACUAUAAACCUGAACAUUGCUCUCUUCUGGAUGUUACAGAGGCAUCAAAAUCAUCAACUUUGAUCUCAUCAACAUUUUAUUUGUCUGCUUUUAGUUUGAACAAAGUGCCACCAGUACAUCUGUUGUUUUGUUUUUUAAAGAUACCUUCUUCUUCUUCUUCAGAGAGUCUUUGCUGCUUUCUGAGCCUGUGUUCCCCCCUCAGGGAAUCCAGACUUCACCUGACUAAUUGAAGAGCCAUCUCCAAGAUGCGCUGCAAUGACGCCAGAGCAGCUUUAGAGGGAUCACUCAGCUGAAUCAUCCAAAAACUGAGAGGAACCUCUGAUCUGAAACACACUCAAAUUCAAAGAGGUCACUUCUUUUAUUUCCAUAUUUUUAUUAUAGAUUUCUAAAAUGCAACAUUCCACACACAGAAUGAGCCCUUUAUUAUCUCCUGGUGUCUAUUGCUUUGAGAGUGAUGGAUUCUGGAGAGGAGCAGAGCUUCUGUAAGGGGAGUGCAUUCAUCUAAUUAAUGAACUUUAAAUGGGGCUGGACUCAAUGGAGAUGUGCCUCCGCAGAGACACUGAAGAGAACCCUUAAAUCAGCAAUAACAGCCCUCGGUGGAGGCAAAAGAAGCCAGGACUCAGACUGUGCAUCCUCUGUGAGCCAAACCCAAACUCUCAGCAUGUGGCAGGUAAACAAACUGCACACCCUAAUAUGAGGGAAUAAACCUUGGGCUUCAUUUUCAGAGGAUGCUGUUGUACAAUUUUUUUGUUGGCAGGCAUGAAAACAAGACAAAAAAACAUUUUUUAUGGGCCCAACUUGCAACCCUGAGACUUCUUUAUGACAUCCUGAAGCGAUGUCAAGACAGAAGGGCUUCUAUGAAGACUUUUUCCACAAACUGAAGUCAACAUUUCAAGUUGAAAUUUCUUGUUUAAGAGGCUGAAUAGAAUUAUGAGGCUUUCAUCUGUUGCCAUGUGGCACAUUGAGGGGUUAAAUUAUGUAUUUGAGGGCUGAUUCAAACUCAGUAGUGUUGCCUUAAAAGUAAUGAUAACCUAUGAUUUAUCUAAUAAGAUGUAAGGCCCUGUAUCUCACAUUUGUGUCACAUUAUUUAUCUUUCACCCAGAAUUGAAAUGUGUGUGCAAACUGUAGAGAAACAUUGCAAGAUGAUGACAAGUCUGGCAGAAACAGGAGGCAGAUGAUGUGUAAAUACAUUUUUAUAAGUUCUUUUUUGAUGGUGUCAGGCUAGAGAGCUUUUUCUGAAUUAAGACUAAUGUGGAAAACAUACUGUAUCCCAUUAUAAGAAGGUACUGCUACUGGUGAAGAUUAGGUGACUAAUUUUAGUUCAUACAUCGCUGUUAAAGUCCUGUUUUUUUACACACUCCUCCACUGUUAUGUAUUUCUUCUUAUAUAAUGUCUUUGUACUAUUUAUGUGCAAUAUGAGGAAACUGUUUUUGAGGAAGAAAAAGUCCUGGAUGUUUUUAAUGCUUUAGGGUCGUUUAGUGAAUAGAACCUGUAUGAAGAGGAGAGUUAAUGCCUCAUUUUGCUGUACUCCGAUGAGUUAUUUAUUUAUUUAUUUAUUGAAAACACAAAUAUGUGGAGGCACAAAACUAAGGGGUCAAAGCCUGUUUGGUUUUGAGCUGAAUGGCAAAGAGGUGGUUAACAAAGAAUGAUGAAGGUUUCAGCUGAAAGCAGUGGAAAGAAUGACAACUAAUAUAAUGGCAGGCUUUUAUCACUGUCACCCCUCCUCCCCUACUCUGUCACACACAUUUACAUAUAAUACUGGAUAAACUCAAGAUUGAGUCCUCCACUAAUUCAGAGGUAGGGCAAAGUUUUAGAGUAAAAACAGCCAGACUUGUUAUGGCUCCUCUAACUGAUUAACACCCAUUUACGUCUUUUUGGGACAAACUUCUUGGUGAGCUCUGCUCAGCACUUCUUAGAAAACUUCCACAACUCAAGGUUAAAUCCAUUUUUCCUGAGGAACACUGCACCCGUAAGCAGACUCCCUAAUCAAUAGGCAUCCAUCCACACAGUAAUGGAUAAUCAUGAUCUGCUAAAGUUUGCCAGCAAUAUAUUAUUGAAUGGCAUUCCCCAGAACUAUUAACAACCUUCCUCCUCUUCCUCAGCCAUGCCAGUGAGGAAAAUUACCAUAGGCAAUUAACUCUAACCAUUAUUUUAUGACAUUUGAAAAUGUGCUGUAUGUCAUUUUUUCCCUUCUCUCCAAUGUAAAUACUGUAUUCCUUAAUAUUUAAAUGUAGGGUUACUGUAAGAAUUCAUUUCUGUGACAGGCUUUCAUCCAACUUUCCUCUUAAAUCAAUCGUUUAUACAAGUCUGUUUACUCACUCAAGGAAUUUUUCAUAGUAGAUGAAAUUAGCUGUUCCUACAUACAAUAAAUAGCAAGAUAAAUACAAGGAUAAGGAUUUUUAUGUGUGCAAAUGACAAACUGACAAAGCUAGCAUCACAUUUUCAUGGAUGACCUAUGAACAGAUACAUCCAGGAAGACCGGCUUCCUAUUUGUAUCUACAGCUAUAAUAUUUAGAAAUUUACAUGUUACCUGAAUCAGAUGAUAAAGACGACUUGUCAUCUGAUCUUUGCUGUUUAGUUGUCCGUUUUCCUGUCAAGCCAUGGAAGCGUUUCUCAAACGUUUCGUGUGAUUCUCUGCCUUCAAAAGCCAAUUAAACAGCAAAUGAGGAAGCAAACACUCCAUUUCCUGAAUUAUUUAUUUAUAUAAUCAGCAUGUCUUCACAACAUGUUUGACCUCUGGCUUGCCACCCCCUGCUGGAGCAUUUCUUGCCCCCCUGUUUAGGAAUCACUGACCUAUCCAGCUGCUGUCUCAGGCAGAACAUACAUUAAACCCUAAGUUAUUAAUACCUAUGCCAAUGUUUGAUUUCAGAUAGAGUGGCAAGAAAAUGUUUUCCAUCAAAACAUUGAUCAGAAAUGUAUAGCCAAAGCGCUCUGGAAAAGGUUAACAUAAAAUCACAAGCAUAGUGGAACAACCAGAGACCAGAUUGGAUCCUAUUCCAGAAUCUAUGGAGGAAAUUAAAGACAGCUUUCCAACACCUGGAGAUCUUUGCAUUAAACAGGUCCAGAAUCAAUGCAGGGAUUGUUGGUAAUUAUAAAAAAACAUUUCUUCAAAUGCAUUUCCAGUGAUUACUGAAAAAUCAUGAAUAAUUUAGGAUUUGUCAAGAACUCCAGUAACAAUGUUUUAACCUUUUCUGUAACAUAUGUGAAUCAUCUUUGUCUUUAGAAACCCAUUCAUGGACUUAUCCAGAGUUGUACAUUUCCUUUAAAGAUUGCAGCUUCAGCACCAGAGCAGAGUAUCUGAGUAAACACUAAAACCCUGGCACUUGCUUGAUUUUACACAAAACUGGUUGAUCAAGUUUAAAAACACAGUGCUCUUACAUGUUGGGUGAAUCAGGGCAUGAACAUUUGUGUAUCUAACUAGUCAGCCAUACUUGACUCUUCACAGGAUACAGGAUCAUUUGGAUCCGUGUUGAUUGAAAGACCAUCCAGCCACAGAUGCCGGAUGGUUCUGGUUAAAGUGAUGGA